UGAAAUACAGGUUCUCAUACAAUCACUGAAGUUAAGCCAAGUCGAGCCUGGUCAGUACUUAGAUGCAUUACUGCCUGGGAUACCAGGUGCUGUAAG